CCUACGGGAGGCAGCAGUAGGGAAUCUUCCACAAUGGGCGAAAGCCUGAUGGAGCCACGUCGCGUGGGUGAAGAAGGCCCUCGGAUCGUAAAACUCUGUUGUUAGAGAAGUAAGUGCGUGAGCGUAACCCUUCACGCUUCGACGGUAUCUAACCAGAAAGCCUCGGCGAACUACGUGCCAGCAGCAGCGGUAAUACGUCGGUGGCAAGCGUUAUCCGGUUUUAUUGGGCGUAAAGGUAGCGCAGAUGGUCUGUUAAGUCUGAUGUGAAAGCUUUCGGCUUAACCGGAGCAGUGCAUUGGAAACUGGGAGACUUGAGUGCAGUAGAGGUAAGUGGAACUCGAGGUGUAGCGGUGAAAUGCGUAGAUAUAAGGAAGAACACCAGUGGCGAAGGCAGCUCACUGAUCUGUAACUGACGCUGAGGUUCGAAAGCGUGGGUAGCAAACAGGAUUAGAUACCCUAGUAGUC
rnacentral:rRNA from 1 species